rnacentral:rRNA from 1 species
GGACAACCUAACCUACAGAAGGGGAUAACCCCGGGAAACUGGGGAUAAUACCCUAUAGACUAUGGAUGCUGGAAUGCUCUGUAGCCGAAAGGUCCGCCGCCGUAGGAUGGGUCUGCGGCCGAUUAGGUUGUUGUUGGGGUAACGGCCCAACAAGCCUGUAAUCGGUACGGGUUGUGGGAGCAAGAGCCCGGAGAUGGAUUCUGAGACACGAAUCCAGGCCCUACGGGGCGCAGCAGGCGCGAAAACUUUACAAUGCGGGAAACCGUGAUAAGGGAACUCUGAGUGCCCGUAAAAUCGGGCUGUCCAUCAGUUUAAAUAACUGGUGAAGAAAGGGCCGGGCAAGACCGGUGCCAGCCGCCGCGGUAAUACCGGCGGCUCGAGUGGUGGCCACUAUUACUGGGCUUAAAGCGUUCGUAGCUGGUUUGUUAAGUCUCUGGGGAAAUCUUCCGGCUUAACCGGAAGGCGUCUCAGGGAUACUGGCAGACUAGGGACCGGAAGAAGUGAGAGGUACUCCAGGGGUAGGAGUGAAAUCCUGUAAUCCUUGGGGGACCACCUGUGGCGAAGGCGUCUCACCAGAACCGCUCCGACAGUGAGGGACGAAAGCUGGGGGAGCAAACCGGAUUAGAUACCCGGGUAGUCCCAGCUGUAAACGAUGC